UCAGUUUCACUGGGGUUGAGUUUCAUGAAGAGCAAGUACGCUGAGCGUGAUCCUUUAACAAAGCAUACUUUCUAUCAAGAAAUAAGGAUGAGGGGAGCCCCAGGAAUGAACACCGUUAACACGACUCUGCUACAAGUGGCCAUUCAAGCCAAGCCUUUCAGCUACAACAUGAGGCUCACAGAGGUGCUCUGAAGGACUUUCUGCACUAUGGUAAUUCCUGCGCAGCAUACAAAGAAGAUGAUUAAGCACGAAAAACAAAGUGUGGCUUUUCAGCAGCAGCCACUCUGCCGCAUUUCCCACUGGGACAGCAGUGGGACCGAUGCUGGACUGGAUGAUCCUGACACGCCUGAAGCAGCACGGCCUCAGCCACUGGAAGGUUCCAUAGGAGAACUGCUCCGUUCCCUAGUCUCAUCCAAAACGCAGUCACUGUUUGUACUUCACAAUAGGUCUUUGUAACUGCGACAUAAUGCUGCGCUGGGGAGAUGUUUCCUGGUAGCAGAAAGGCAGCGGGAAGAAAAUAUAAAUAUAUUUGUAGCUGGUUA